CAGUUGAGCUGAGAGGCGGGAGCUCAGACAGCCUUGGGCCCCUGGCCAGUCCCCACCUGGCACUUGUCUGUGUCGCUUUCAGGAUUUGUCUGACUCUGCGCUCCCUCGCAGGGGUGUGUUGGGGGGGAGUCCUCUUUGCGACUCUCAAAAUGGUUAUCAAAGUGUUUGUUGCUACAUCAUCUGGGUCCAUAGCGAUUAGGAAGAAACAGCAAGAAGUAGUGGGCUUUUUGGAAGCUAAUAAAAUCGAUUUUAAGGAGUUUGAUAUUGCUGGAGAUGAAGACAAUCGGAGGUGGAUGAGAGAGAACGUUCCUGGAGAGAAGAAACCUCAAAAUGGGAUUCCUUUGCCCCCACAGAUAUUCAACGAAGAGCAGUACUGUGGGGAUUUUGACUCUUUCUUCUCUGCAAAAGAAGAGAAUAUUAUUUAUUCCUUCCUUGGCUUGCCUCCCCCUCCAGGCUCAAAGGUGACAAAAUCUCCCGAGGAAGCAUCUUCCCUUCCCAAUGGUGAUGUGACAGGAGAAGCACAGAGCACCACAGAGGGAACAGAGAAGGCUGAAGAAAGUGGACAGCAAGAGGCACAGAAAGAGGGCAGUGAAGAUGCGGGCGAGCUCACCGGAUCCCCAGAGAAGAAUGAAGAAGAGGGAGAGACAGCAACAGAAGAGACGGAAGAAAUAACCGCGGAGGGUGCAGAAGGGGAAGCAGAGGAAGAGGAAGCUGAGAAAGGAGAAGAGGAGGGGCCAGGAGAAGAAGAAGAAGGAGAAGAGGAGGAAGAUUCUUAGGCCUUUUCAUGCUUUAUUCUUCCACUUGCCCAGGUAGCCACGUCGCUCUGGGGUUGAAGGCCCUGGGCUGCCCCUUCCUGGAGCCGCAGGGCUGGUGAACUCUACCGGACCCGUUUCUUGGGCGCUAGGGCGAGGAAGGCCUGUGGUUGGUAUGAUUUCUAGGAAAAAGCAUAACUUUGAGGUGAGGAAGAGUUUGUUUUGUACUUGCUCCCUCCUCUUCCUCUUUAUUUAAGUGAAAGCACAGGACGUGUUCUGUUAUCAGCGUUCUAUCACAUGACCAACAUACUUACGUAUCCAUAGGAGAGUUUACCAUCGAUGUUCAUAACGAUGGCAAGAAAUUACAACCUAAAAAUACCACAAAGCUGGCUGCUCAUGAAAAAAGAUAUUGCUACUAGAGAUUCAACGAUAAGUGCUUGAUAUUACAUUUAUUCAAUUAUAUUCAUUGAUUUAUAUCAAAAUAUUCAUUUAUUCAAUAUUAGCCCAAACACUCAUGUAGAAACACUUUGGAAUAUGGUGAAGUCACUUGAGGUAACUUUGACAAGUACACUUGCUGCCUUGUAAUUUUUUUUUUAACAUCUUUGUUGGAAUAUACUUGCUUUACAAUGGUGUGUUAGUUUCUGCUUUAUAACAAAGUGAAUCAGCUAUACAUAUACAUAUAUCUCCUCCCUCUUGCAUCUCCCUACCACCCUCCCUGUGCCACCCCUCCAGGUGGUCAUAAAGCGCCGAGCUGAUCUCCCUGUGCUAUGUGGCUGCUUCCCACUAGCUAUCUGUUUUACAUUUGGUAGUGUAUAUAUGUCCACGCCACUCUCCCACUUCGUCCCAGCUUACCCUUCCCCCUCCCCGUGUCCUCAAGUCCAUUCUCUCAUCUGCGUCUUUAUUUCUGUUCUGCCCCUAGGUUCUUCAUAACCUUUUUUUUUUUUUUAGAUUCCAUAUAUAUGUGUUAGCAUACGGUAUUGGUUUUUCUCUUUCUGACUUACUUCACUCUGUAUGACAGACUCUAGGUCCAUCCACCUCACUACAAAUAACUCAAUUUUGUUUCUUUUUAUCGCUGAGUAAUAUUCCAUUGUAUAUAUGUGCCACAUCUUCUUUAUCCAUUCAUCCGAUGAUGGACACUUAGGUUGCUUCCAUGUCCUGGCUAUUGUAAAUAGAGCUGCAAUGAACAUUGUGGUACAUGACUCUUUCUGAAUUAUGGUUUUCUCUGGGUAUAUGCCCAGUAGUGGGAUUGCUGGAUCGUAUGGUAGUUCUAGUUUUAGUUUUUUAAGGAAACUCCAUACUGUUCUCCAUAGUGCUGCCUUGUAGUUUUAAACUUAUACUGACGAUGAAAAAGAAUUAUGUACUUCUUAACAGUCUGGUGAGUGCCACAUAAAUAUAUUAAUAAGAUAAUGAUAGUGGAUAUUGAGAUCACAGGGGAAAUGCUCAAAUAUUUUGGGCCAUACAGAUAAGACGGUAGGUAUGAAAACAUCGAAAGAUCAUUAAGAGCUAUAAAAACAUCUGGUUUAACAGACAGUUAGCAAAUACCCAUGUAAAUGUUAUGUUUUUAUUGACAUUAUUUGACCUUGCAACCAAGGCAGCUGUUUAUUCUCUAGGGGGCAGUGAGGCUUACAGUUUGCUCUGGUGCCAGAAGUGUUCUUGUUAAUUUAAAUUAAACAAAUUUUAGUCUCCUUUCUGUCCAUAUUAUGCCUCUGCUGAAACAUGUAAGAUAGAUUUGGGGGCUGUUGAUAUCAGGGGAGCAGGAAGAAGAGGAGAAUGAGGGAGUGAGCCUUGAACACACAGCAGGUCUUCAGUUAAGGUCUGCGGUCACUCUUGGAGCCUGUCUAGUGAAGGGCGGACAAAAGGGUUCAACUGGAUAAGGAAAAAGAAAUCCCCAGUGCUUGUAAAUAUCGUCCAACAAAGAGCUCUGCUCUAUGUACCAAAGACCAAUUUGAAUAUUAUGAAUCUCCGCUCUUAAUUUACUUACACUUAUACAUAAAAUACUACUAUUAAAAAAUGAAUAUAUUUUUAGGAAAUCUUGGAGCUGGUGGGAGUAACCAUCACAUGUUAUUAUCGGACCAUGGAAGUUUCAUCACUCCUUUAUUCAAAUUACAAAGCAAAUCCAGCCCAUCAUUUGAUAUUUUCCCAGGUGGUUUCCUUCAUGUUGUGGACACAUAGACAUCUAUUUUAGGGCCAAAUGAUUGUCUUUUUGGAAGUGAUCCCAUUUCCUUUCUUUAUUUUUUAUUUCCUUCUAAAUAAAAGAAAAUAGAACAUUACUAUUGAA